rnacentral:rRNA from 1 species
CCUACGGGUGGCAGCAGUGGGGAAUAUUGCGCAAUGGGCGAAAGCCUGACGCAGCGACGCCGCGUGAGGGAUGAAGGUCUUCGGAUCGUAAACCUCUGUCAGCAGGGAAGAACGGUCACGGGGCUAAGCAGCAGUGAAUUGACGAUACCGGCAAAGGAAGCACCGGCUAACUCCGUGCCAGCAGCCGCGGUAAGACGGAGGGUGCGAGCGUUAAUCGGAAUUACUGGGCGUAAAGCGCUCGUAGGCGGUAUGUCAAGUCAAGGGUGAACUCCCCGCGCUCCACGUGGGAACUGCCUUUGAAACUGGCAAACUGGAGUGUGUGCGAGGAUAGUGGCAUUCCAGGUGU